CCUAUGUUGAUUCAAAUAUUGUGUUAAUUAUUCGUAGGUGCCGAAAGCUCGGGCGGACGAAUCAGGCAAAAAGAAGACUUGCAUUAGAAGCAGGUACAAUAUUUGAAAUGAUCUGCACUUAUCUCUCCAGAUGUGUUUUACGGUAUACUUGUGCCUAUAGAUGGUUUGGGUUUCUCAUGAGUGGUGGUUCCACCCUUAGUAGCCUUCAUUGUAUGUGAAUUCUUUUGGUUCAUGCUGCUAUCAGUUCCUUAGUUAUGUAGUUUUUUUUGUUUUAUCAUGCGGUGUGUUUUCUUAGGAAACAGACUUGUGUAUAUUUCUGGUUUAUCAACGCUUUGUUCUGCUCUUA